AUUGAACGCUAGCGGGAUGCUUUACACAUGCAAGUCGAACGGCAGCGCGGACUUCGGUCUGGCGGCGAGUGGCGAACGGGUGAGUAAUGUAUCGGAACGUGCCCAGUAGCGGGGGAUAACUACGCGAAAGCGUAGCUAAUACCGCAUACGCCCUACGGGGGAAAGCAGGGGAUCGUAAGACCUUGCACUAUUGGAGCGGCCGAUAUCGGAUUAGCUAGUUGGUGAGGUAACGGCUCACCAAGGCGACGAUCCGUAGCUGGUUUGAGAGGACGACCAGCCACACUGGGACUGAGACACGGCCCAGACUCCUACGGGAGGCAGCAGUGGGGAAUGUUGGACAAUGGGGGCAACCCUGAUCCAGCCAUCCCGCGUGUGCGAUGAAGGCCUUCGGGUUGUAAAGCACUUUUGGCAGGAAAGAAACGUCGCGGGCUAAUACCCCGUGGAACUGACGGUACCUGCAGAAUAAGCACCGGCUAACUACGUG
rnacentral:rRNA from 1 species